rnacentral:rRNA from 1 species
AAACCAACAGGGAUUGCCCUAGUAACGGCGAGUGAAGCGGCAACAGCUCAAAUUUGAAAUCUGGCUCUUUUAGAGUCCGAGUUGUAAUUUGCAGAGGGCGCUUUGGCUUUGGCAGCGGUCCAAGUUCCUUGGAACAGGACGUCACAGAGGGUGAGAAUCCCGUACGUGGUCGCUGGCUAUUGCCGUGUAAAGCCCCUUCGACGAGUCGAGUUGUUUGGGAAUGCAGCUCUAAAUGGGAGGUACAUUUCUUCUAAAGCUAAAUAUUGGCCAGAGACCGAUAGCGCACAAGUAGAGUGAUCGAAAGAUGAAAAGCACUUUGGAAAGAGAGUCAAACAGCACGUGAAAUUGUUGAAAGGGAAGCGCUUGCAGCCAGACUUGCUUACAGUUGCUCAUCCGGGUUUUUACCCGGUGCACUCUUCUGUAGGCAGGCCAGCAUCAGUUUGGGCGGUAGGAUAAAGGUCUCUGUCACGUACCUCCUUUCGGGGAGGCCUUAUAGGGGAGACGACAUACUACCAGCCUGGACUGAGGUCCGCGCAUCUGCUAGGAUGCUGGCGUAAUGGCUGUAAGCGGCCCGUCUUGAAACACGGACCAAGGAGUCUAACAUCUAUGCGAGUGUUUGGGUGUCAAGCCCGAGCGCGUAAUGAAAGUGAACGGAGGUGGGAACCCGCAAGGGUGCACCAUCGACCGAUCCUGAUGUCUUCGGAAGGAUUUGAGUAAGAGCAUGGCUGUUGGGACCCGAAAGAUGGUGAACUAUGCUUGAAUAGGGUGAAGCCAGAGGAAACUCUGGUGGAGGCUCGCAGCGGUUCUGA